UAUAAAAAAAAUGGAUCUGAUGGAUCCGUUGGAUCCAAUGUAUAUUGGAUUUUAGUUAUAUAAAAAAAAUGGAUCCAUUCGAUCCAUCAGAUCCAUUUUUUUUAUAUA